rnacentral:rRNA from 1 species
AUGGUUAUAUUUUCAACGCAAAAUUAUACAAUUCAGACGACCACCUAUUUUGGAUGCAAAACAUGGCGAGCACUAUGCAAGACUUAUGCAUUUGAGCCUGAUAUGGUUAUUUCCUUUGAUAUUCGGCUGGAAGAUGAUAUUGAAGGUAAUAUCGACAUCUGGGUCGAUGUGCAGACGCCUCCAGUUAUACCAUUAUCUUAUUUUGGUGCAAGCAAACCUGUCCAGCGUUUGGUAGACAGGACCUACUACUGUGUCGGGGCUGAACUCAACUGCGAGGAGCUCAGUCAUUAUGUUUCAUGGCUUGCGUAUCUUGAUACUGUCAAGACAAAUUUUCUUCCUGCAUUUAGAAAUGUUAGUACUGAAAACGUGCGACCAAUAGUGUUCCUAAUGAACUACGGUCACAUCUAUUUAGGAAGGAUGGGACUCCCGAUGAAUGUUAUGCCUUAUGGAAUCGAGACUAAAGGUACCAUGAGUAUUAUUAGCUUAUGGCCAAGAUAUCCUACAGAUUACUUUAGUGCAUUUAAGAUUAGCGACGGAUUCUUAAUAGUGCAAGAUUGGACCAAAUAUGUGAUGGGGGAGCGCAGAGAAGUACUAGGGGGCAGCAAACAGAUGCGCUACCCAUGA